rnacentral:rRNA from 1 species
CACGUAGGGGGCAAGCGUUGUCCGGAAUCAUUGGGCGUAAAGAGCUCGUAGGCGGCUCAGUAAGUCGGGUGUGAAACCUCCAGGCUCAACCUGGAGACGCCACCCGAUACUGCUGUGGCUAGAGUCCAGUAGGGGAGUGUGGAAUUCCCGGUGUAGCGGUGAAAUGCGCAGAUAUCGGGAGGAACACCAGCGGCGAAGGCGGCACUCUGGGCAACAACUGACGCUGAGGAGCGAAAGCGUGGGGAGCGAACAGG